ACUACUUAGCAAUCCCAAUAAGGUGAUCUGGUUGUCCCUGAAUUUAACAUGGUUCUCCAGUUGACAUAAAAAGGGAAGAGUCUUUUUCUACUUGAAUGUCUUUUUUUAUUCUCACAAACCAUGUGUACAGUGAAAGCCCUCUGAACAUAUUGGAACAGAUUUGUCUUUUAUCACUCCCUUACUAAAUGUUUUAGCACUUGAUGAGUCUUUUCUUUCUUUUACUUCUGUUUCUGCUUCCCCGUUACUUUGGGUAUGUAUAAACAGCACCCUCCUACCCACCGCUGUAUCUCCCAGGAAGGAGAGAGGGUGUUUGAUCAACCUCCAAAGAUUGGCAUCUCACUUGUAAGAAAAUGCUCUCUCCCGCCAACUUGCAGAAUCACUGACCAAAAAGCAGUUUCGAUCCCAAGAUCACAGUAGAAAACAAGCCUGGGCCAAGACCAUGAAGGCUAUAUAUUGCCCUGUCCUUAAACUCACUGGCAGGUUCAGAUCUAAAUUGCACUUCAAAUUGAAUUUUUCCAUGUGAAUCAUCUUAUUAUAUGAGUCACAUUUUUUAUCAUAACUUUUGUAAUUACCUCAAAUACCAUGUAUAUUUAGUCUGCUACAGCCAAUAAAUGUGUACCUUAUAAAUGUCAAAAAAAAAUUGUGAUUUUUGCUUGGGUAUACAUGAUUGAAGAAGACAACAAAAGAACAAAUUUAAAAGCAGCAUGACCAAGCAAUUGUGUUUAAACUAACAUGAACAGAUAUACAUAUGUACACAUACUG
rnacentral:lncRNA from 1 species